GAGGAGGUGGGCGUGGCUUCGGCGGGCCCCCGCCUCCCCCUUGAGUCAGAGACGCGCGGCCGCGGGCGGGCAGGUAGACAGGCAAGCGGGCUGCCUGGGAAGCGAGGGCGAACAGAAUGGCGGAGAGGCAGGCGGGCGCGAUGAUUGGCGGGCGGAGACAAAGUGGCCGAAUCUUGGGAGCCUGGACGCUCGGAGGAGUGGCUGGGCAGCAACGGCCGCAGCGAGCCCGAGGCGCCGUUGUUUCAGAGCGAGGAGUUCGGAGGUUUUUUUUGGCGCGAGGAGAGCGAGUUGGCGGCGUUGGAGAAGGUCGGAGCCCUUUCGGAGCGAGGAGAGCGAGUUGGCGGCGAGAUGGCGGCGUCGGAGGUGUUGGAGGGGGAGGACGGCUCAGGGAAGAUGAGUCGGAGCGUUAGCCCGUCCCCGAGCCAGGAGAGUUUGGGCUUCGAGCCCUUGGAAGUCAAAAGCAAGUUUGGUGCUGAAUUUCGAAGAUUUGUCAUUCAUCGCUAUAAGCUACCAAGCUUUGAAGACUUCGUCAGACUUAUUCUUGAUGUUCUCAAUAUAGUCAACCUGAAAGUAAAGCUUAGAUAUGCAGAUUACCAUGGGCAUCUUUAUGAUAUUCACAGCUGCUUUAAGGCUUAUCUAUCAGCAGACCCAACACUUAGAAUUUUUGUACAACCACAAGUUUGGUGCUGAAUUUCGAUGAUUUGUCAUUCAUCGCUAUAAGCUACCAAGCUUUGAAGACUUCGUCAAACUUAUUCUUGAUGUUCACAAUAUAGUCAACCUGAAAGUAAGCUUAGAUAUGCAGAUUACCAUGGGCGUCUACGUCCUCUUUAUGAUAUUCACAGCUGCUUUAAGGCUUAUUUAUCAGCAGAUCCAACACUCAGAAUUUUUGUACUACCACAAGGUCCAAAGAGAAACUCAGGACACCAGGAGCAGAGGCAGAGGUCUUUGAGUAAAGAUGGCCAGCAAGGAAGCAAGUCCAGCGACUCCGGAGAAGAAGCAGACAAAGAGUUUAUUUUUGUUUAGUUGAUUCAUCAUCUCUUUGGCAGUGCAAAAUCUGUUCUAACAAUAAGAAUUUGUAUAAAUAAUAUAUAUUAGAUGCUUGCAUAUGAUUUUUACAUUCACCCUUGGGAGACCUUUUUCUUGUUUGUUGUACUGUAUAUAAAAACACAACCUCUUACAUUUGUGUACUGUUCAAAGAAAAGCGAAUUACUAAACCUUUGCUAUGCUUCCACUUCCAUAAGUUAUAUGUAUGUUGUUGUUUUUUUAUAUCAUAUUUAUUGAGUCACUUUCAGAAUUAUAUAAAAGGUAGUUAAGGAAAAGAGGGAGGAUGACAGGAUAGUUGGGGAGGGUUAAGAUAUGAAUUACUUAUCCUUUGCUAUGCUUCCACUUCCAUAGGUUAUAUGUAUGUUGUUGACUGGAAUGACAGCAAUGUACACCUUAUUGGUAUUGGUAUUUUCUAGAGGCUGCCUUAGAGUGUCUCUCUGCAUCCUUUCUAACUUUUAACUUGUUCUUCUUAAACAAAAAGGUAGUUUUUUUUUGUCUGUAAAAGCAAUUUUGCUUUUCCCCUGUUUGCAUAUUUACAGUCAUCUGCUUACAAUACAGGCUGAAUGAGUUUUAUUCAUAAUGUAUAUUUGUACCAAUAAAAAUGAUUUUACAACUGGAA